UUCAUUAUAUUCCCUACAAAUACCUUAUUUGAUUUCAAUUUGAGUGAGCUUACAUUUGUGGUAAUUCAUAUAAGGAGCAAGCUUAUGGUAAAAAAAGCUGAACUGACCUUCUCUUAAGAGAGAUGAGUAUCUUUUCCACUAUCCUCGUUCUAAGUGCUACAAAUAUUUGGGGAGUGUGAGUUUGGGUUCCACAAUGACCUAUGUAGUAGAAAGAGUCUUUCCACAAUCCUCGUUCUAAGUGCUACAAUCUACAGUGAGGUUUGCAUACAAAUAUUUGGGGAGUGUGAGUUUGGGUUCCACAAUGACCUAUGUAGUAGAAAGAGUCUCCUUGAUGAGUUGAGUCAACUCUUGAUGCUCUUGUGAUUCACUAAAGCCAUGGUGCUAAAAAGGUUGUGUGUUGUUCAUAAUGCAUUUGUGUUUAGGGUAAUUGUUAAUCCCAAUUGAUCCUUAAUGAAG
rnacentral:lncRNA from 1 species